rnacentral:rRNA from 1 species
GACGAACGCUGGCGGCGUGCUUAACACAUGCAAGUCGAACGGAAAGGCCCUGCUUUUGUGGGUUGCUCGAGUGGCGAACUGGUGAGUAACACGUGAGUAACCUGCCCUUGACUUUGGGAUAACUUCAGGAAACUGGGGCUCAUACCGGAUAGGAGCUCCUGCUGCAUGGUGGGGGUUAGAAAGUUUCGGCGGUUGGGGAUGGACUCGCGGCUUAUCAGCUUGUUGGGGGGGUAGUGGCUUACCCAGGCUUUGACGGGUAGCCGGCCUGAGGGGGUGACCGGACACACUGGGCCUGGGACACGCCUCAGACCACUACGGGAGGGAGCAGUGGGGAAUAUAGCACAGUGGGCGGAAGCGUGAUGCAGAGAAGCGGCGUGCGGGAGGACGGCCUUCUGGUUGUAAACCGCUUUCGCAUGUGACGAAGCGUGAGUGACGGUAAUGGGUAAAGAAGCUCCGGCUAACUACGUG